CCUUCUGGAGAUGCGGUCUCCAGUGCUGCGUACAAUACUCCAAGUGAGGUCUCACCAGUGUUCUGUACAAUGGCAUGAGCACUUCCCUCUUUCUACUGCUAAUACCUCUCCCUAUACAACCAAGCAUUCUGCUAGCAUUUCCUGCUGCUCUAUUACAUUGUCUGCCUACCUUUAAGUCAUCAGAAAUAAUCACCCCUAAAUCAUUUUCCUCAGAUGUUGAGGUUAGGACUCUAUCAAAUAUUCUGUACGCUGCCCUUGGGUUUUUACGUCCAAGAUGCAUUAUCUUGCACUUCUCCACAUUAAAUGUCAGUUGCCACAAAUCUGACCAUUUUUCUAGUUUACCUAAAUCAUUUUCCUUUUGGCUUAUCCCUCCUGGAACAUCAACCCUGUUACAUAUCUUAGUAUCAUCAGCAAAAAGACAUACCUUACCAUCAAGACCUUCUGCAAUAUCACUAAUAAAAAUAUUAAAGAGAAUGGGUCCAAGUACAGAUCCCUGCGUUACACCACUGGUGAAAAGCCCAUUGACUACAACCCUAUGUUGCC